UGUUAAAUCGUCUCCUGGACUGUGGAAGCUCCCAUAUCUCUCACUGGAGGUUGAUCUCUGAAGAAAAGGGGUGUAACCUAAAAGAUGAGAGUGCUGAGUCUUCUGUACCUGUUGACAGCCCUUCCUGGUAUCCUGUCUGAUGUGCAGCUUCAGGAGUCAGGACCUAGCCUGGUGAAACCUUCUCAGACACUGUCCCUCACCUGUUCUGUUACUGGCAUCUCCAUAACUAAUAGUAAUUAUUACUGGAGUUGGAUCCGACAGUUUCCAGGAAAGAAACUGGAGUGGAUGGGGUACAUAAGCUACAGUGGUAGCACUAACUACAACCCAUCUCUCAAAAGUCGAAUGUCCAUCACUCGAGACACAUCCAAGAACCAGUAUUUCCUGCAGUUGAACUCUGUGACUACUGAGGACACAGCCACAUAUUACUGUGCAAGUCUACUGGGGGGGAACUGGUUUGCUUACUGGGGACAAGGGACUCUGGUCACAGUCUCUACAGCUCCUAACAAGGAUCCUGACAUGUUCCUCCUCUCGGAGUGCAAAGCCCCAGAGGAAAAUGCAGAUGUAAACCUGGGCUGUUUGGUAAUUGGAGCACAGCCAUUGAAUAUCAGCUGGAAGCCAAAGAAACAGAAUAUAGUUGAAAAUGUCUUCCCCUAUAAACAGAAAGACAACAAUUAUAUAAUGAGCCUCCAGGUCUCUAUGCCAGCCUCAGAACUGAGCCUCAACCACACUUGCACCAUAAAUAGCACACCCAAAGAGAAAGAAAAAGCUUUCAAGAGGCCUGAGUCAUGGAAUUCUCAGUCCUCCCAGAAAGCCACUCCAACUCUCCAGGCAAAGGAUCACUCCACAGAAGCCACCAAGGCUACUGCCUCCAUAAGGGAUGUAGAAGGGGCCAUAGCACCCAGCAACCUUGCUGUGACCAUCCUGACCACAUCCACCCAUCCUGAGAUGUCAUCUUGGCUUAUGUGUGAAGUAUCUGGCUUCUUCCCUGAUACAAUCCACAUCAUAUGGCUGAGCAACCACAGUAAAAUAAUCUCUACGAACUUUGCCACUGCACACCCCACCGCCCAGUCUGGGGGCAAAUACCAGACCUGGAGUGUUCUGAGACUACCAGUUGCUCUGAGCCCUUCGCUUGACACUUACACAUGUAUGGUGGAACAUGAGGCCUCGAAGACCAAGCUUAAUGCCAGCAAGAGCCUGGAGAUUAGUGGCAGAGUCGACACCAUCCCACACUCGUGCAUCAGGGAUGAGCAAAGCGACAGCUACAUGGACCUAGAGGAGGAGAACGGCCUGUGGCCCACACUGUGCACCUUCGUGGCCCUUUUCCUGCUUACACUGCUCUACAGUGGCUUCGUCACCUUCAUCAAGGUGAAAUAGACCAGGACAGAAGAAUCCUGUAACUACGGAGAAAAGAGCUUUCCCUCAACAUGAAGCCAACUAAGAAGAUACCUUCUAUUCAGAGAGAAACUCCAGGUCCUCCUCUCAAUACCCACUCUCCACCUAGCCUCCCAAACUCAAAAUGCUUGGUGUCCUUGGCUAUAGGUAAAGCAGGGGUUCUGCUGCUCCAGCCCUAUUCAUCAUUGUCCCUGCCUCCCUACAAGCCCCCAUCAUCCCAUAAGCAUGCUGUGGUUCACCCCACCUGCCUCCUCCUUAUUUGGUUGUUUGUUUGUUCCUCUGUUUGUUUCUGUGGUCUAAAUAAACUCAAAGCACAUGAGAUCAGA